ACUUCAGACACCAGUAGCCAGUUCAGGGGUUGGUUCCACUACCCCUGCAGGUUUGAUAAUUUGCUACAAUGACUCACAGAACUCAGGAAAGCACUAUACUUAUGAUAAGUUAAACUUUUAUUGCAGCAAAAGGGUACAAAUCAGAACCAGCCAAGAGAAGAGAUACAGAGGGCAAAGUCUGGGAAGAGCUACACGGGAAGCUUUGGGCACCUUCUCCUGUGGAGUUCCAGACAUCACUGCCCCUCCCUGCUACGAGGUGUGGCAGUGCUUGCGAGUGCUGCCACCAGGAAAGCUUGCCCGAGUCUUUGGUGUCCAGAGCCCUUGCUGGAGCUUGACCACAUGCUGCCUGCAUGACUGACCUUUGCUCUCCAGUCCCUAUGGGGGCUGGAACUGAUAUGGCGUGUUUCGGAGCCCCCAUUAUAAAUCACAUCAUUUGAGCAUCUGGUGGCCAAACUCCUCAGGCAAACAAUGACAUUCCUAUUGGGCAGGACAUUCCAGAGGCCUAGAGAUCAUCUCCCAGUAGCCGAGGGCCAAAGCCAGACCUCUCUUUGGUUGGCUUCAGGUCACAUGUUGCUCUGGAGAACCGAGAAGGGUGAGCAGACACCAAUCAUGACCCCAAACAGCAAGAGGACAGAAGUCUGCAGGAUGCUCAGCAGGGGCACUCCCUGAACACGCCUGCUCCCACAGCAUGUGCAAAGGCUUCACACUUGGAUUGAGGGUUAUACAUUUCUUCAUGGACAUCCCCAAACAACACAGAACAGAGACAAGGUUUCUGGUCCUUUUGGAAUGUCCACACCAUUCCCAUUCUUCAAAAUCUGUCACACUUCCAGAUAGUUCCAGUGAACAAUGAACUCUCCCCCUAUGCAGUAACAGUUGAUUAUUCAAUUUAACACUGAAUUAUAUAUUCUCUGGAACUGUUCUCUAACAACUAUGAGGCGUUUUCAACGGUAGUUGAAUGGAAAAAUACCAAACUGGGAGUAAAAAGAUCUGGCUUCCAGGCCAGGCGCGGUGGCUCAUGCAUGUAAUCCCAGUACUUUGGGAGGCUGAGGCGGGCGGAUCACCUGAGCUCAAGAGUUCGAGACCAGCCUGGACAACAUGGUGAAACCCUGUCUCUACUAAAAAUAGAAAAAUUAGUCAAGCGUCAUGGUGGGCGCC
rnacentral:lncRNA from 1 species